UGCACUUCAAAAGAAAGCAUAGGUGGCUGAUGGGAUCCCUCUGUGGGUAGGUUGGUACUGACAGCUUUGCCAUUUUCCCCCUUUAAGUCUGUUUUUUAAAAGGACAUCGUAAAAAGCUGUGGCUAGCAAAGAAGGGGUAUAAUUGAGGCAAGUGACAGCUGGACAAUCCGUGGCCAGCAAUACAAAAGAUCCAUCAGAGUGAGAGACUUAUGCAGAUUCUCGUGCAGGGAUUUUGAAGUGGAUUAUAUAUUUUGUUGACUAUAAAUGGUAAAUACUAAUUGCUUAGAUUUACCAGGCUCUUGCCAGCGCAGGGCAGCUGGGCUAAGUUCUUUCCAUAUUGGUUCUCAUUUGAUGCUCACUGCCAAGUGAGGCAGGUCUAAACCUGGUUCCCGAGAUGGGAAAUGAAGCGUUUUAGGGCUGAGAACAUGAAGUCUGGGAGGUGUCAAAGCCAGAACUCCAGCCUCAUCUGUGUGACUUCCAGGUCUUGGUCUCUGCCCUCUAGGAUGUCAUCCCUUCUGUCAGCUUUAGAUCCAGGGGGGUCCUGCAGGUCAGGACCUUGAUAUUAUCUUAUGGCCGAUGGAACCAGAAAAUGUAGAAACAAAGCAGCCUCAGAACCAGUGACUCUAGCACUAAGUGGGGCGUGCCUUCCUGAAUGUGAAUUAAUUCACAGAUAUUGAAAACGCAGGGUGCACAGGUGCAGACACGAGGCCCUGAAACUUCCUGUUGGUCUGAGUGAGAAUGUUUUAUGCGGUGCUCAAAAUGCUCUUUCCUUCUGCUCUAGGGGCAAAAGUAAAUGAGCUAUGUCCUGACUUGUGUCCCUCAGGUUCGUGGUGCACGGCCUAACCACUGGCGAGCAGUACAUCUUCCGGGUGAAGGCCGUCAACGCCGUGGGCACCAGCGAGAACUCCCAGAGAGUCUGACGCCAUCAAGGUCCAGGCGGCCCUCACUGUCCCAUCCCAUCCGUACGGGAUCACGCUUCUGAACUGCGACGGCCACUCGAUGACCCUUGGCUGGAAGGUGCCUAAAUUCAGUGGUGGCUCGGCCAUCCUGGGAUAUUACUUAGACAAGCGCGAGGCUCACCACAAGAACUGGCAUGAGGUCAAUUCGUCACCCAUCCAAGAGAGGAUCAUAACGGUGGAGGGCUUGACAGAAGGUUCCUUGUAUGAAUUCAAAAUUGCUGCCGUCAACCUGGCCGGAAUCGGGCAGCCAUCAGACCCCAGCGAGCACUUCAAGUGUGAGGCCUGGACAAUGCCAGAACCCGGUCCCGCCUAUGACUUGACUUUCUGCGAGGUCCGGGACACGUCGCUGGUGAUGCUUUGGAAGGCCCGGUGUAUACGGGCAGCAGUCCCGUGUCUGGGUACUUGGUGGAUUUUAAGGAAGAGGAUUCAGGAGAAUGGAAGACCGUAAAUGAGGCGGCAACCCCAAAUCGUUAUUUAAAGGUCUGUGACCUGCUGCAAGGCCACACGUAUGUCUUCAGAGUGCGGGCUGUGAAUGCUAGCGGGCCAGGGAAGCCGUCAGACACAUCGGAACCAGUGCUGUGGAGGCC